AAUAGAAAUGAGUUUAUAUCUAUGAUAACACAAUCAGAUAUCAGAUUGUGAAUCUAGAUUUUAGCGGUUGUUGACCAUAUUUGAUAACUAUGAGACAGUAUUUCGAAAGGAAAGCGAAAUAAUCCUGGAGUGGCUUAUACAAUAUCCGUUUCAGUAUUGGUCAGACUAGCAUGUAUUUGUAAUGAAACAGUCGAAAAGACAAUAUUGAUGCAAUAUCUAAGCUCCACAGUAAAUAAUCGUCUGCUAAGGAAAGCCAUUUAUCCAAAAUAUUGCGUUUCGAGACGAAAAUCAAUGCAAUUCGUAAUCUGUAAAUUAUUCAUUAAAUUGAUGGAAAAAAAACCCCUCUGUCUGUACAGGAAAAAAUUUGAAAUCGCCAAACAUGACAAGGAAAUAAUUAUUUUAAUAUUUCGCUUAAUUAUGCGGAUUUUCAAAACUUACUGUUACGUUGAUCAUAUGGUGCAGAAGAACACAAGGGUUUAGGGAACUUUCAUUAAGUGGAAAUCUAAGUUUAGUUCUAUUUUAGAAAAAAAUAAUAACUGCGUCGUUACAAUUACAAACCAUAUUCAAUUUUGCACAGCAGGAAGUAAAUCCAGUAUCACCAACUAACUUGACGGAAGCCAAUUCUUUUGUCAGUGACUAUUGAUGAAUUAUAGGACUUAUCCACUAAGCGAACCAUUUUUUAUGUCUCCUCCAUCAAUAAGGACGAAAAUGUAAAUGAAUAUUUUAUAGGAUUUGAAGAAAUUGCUUGCAUGCUGUUCAUUUUAACAGUCAAUUCACUGUGGCCAUGCUGGAGCACCACCUUUAGUCGAACAAAUCAACCCCAGGACACGGACACACACAAAUACGACGGACUUCUUUCAGUUUCUGUCUACCAAAUCCACUCACAAGGCUUUGGCCGUCCCGAGUCUAUAGUAGGAGACACUUGCCCAAGGUACCACACUUGCCCAAGGUGCUACUUGCCCAAGGUGCCACUUGCCCAAGGUGCCACACGUGACUUUUCAACGAUAUACAUAGGUUACAUGUGUCAUAUAGGUCCAACAACCGGAUGGAGGUUCGCUGGAUGGCUCCUGUGAUGUUAUAAUUAUCCCACACCCAAUUAUAAACAAUAAAACGUAGGUACAGCUCAGUGUUGUGAAGUAGCAGUAUCGUGGUAUAACAUGUAUCCCACAUGGUCACAGACUUCUCAAGCUUCUAAAAAAGAUUUCACAUGACCAAUACAUAAUUAUGUCUUUCUCGAGGCCAUUAAUGCCAUUCACAAAGCGAAGCCUCUUAAUACUGGA